rnacentral:lncRNA from 1 species
GCAUACCAUAGUUAGCCAACAGUGUUUUCCUAAGAUUACCUACAGGGUCUUCCAUAUAUCUUGUCAAAUGCCUUACGGUAUUUAUCUAUUUCACAUUUCACACCCACGAUGAAACCAACAACAACACCUGCAAUAGUGAGCAGUGCUUGAAUCCUCUUCCUUUUUUCUUCAUUUAUGUUCUCCCUAUCAAAAGGAUGUGCAUAACACAUGACUAUUAGGAUCGUUUCAUUUGAGUACAAAUCAAAUACAGUAAGUUGUAGCGAUGAACAUCAUUUCAAAAAAAAAAGGUGUAGCGCCUCCAAUUAAUUACCUCUCAGCUUCAGCUUAAUUCUAGCUAUCUCAUCAUCAAUAAUACUAGCUAUGUUGCCAUCUAUCUCCACUCCCUCCUUCUCUAAUUUUGCCAACAAAUGGUCAACAUCCUUCUUCCUAGCAACAUCAGCUUUGGCUCCAUUGCUGGAUCCACCCUGGUAAGAUUAAUAAUUAGAUAAUUAUAAAUUUAUAAUUGAUAUAAUGAUACAAGAGUUAAAGCAGCUAUUCAUGCAUGUUAGUGGCUGUCAACGAGAGA